rnacentral:rRNA from 1 species
UACAGAGGGUGCAAGCGUUGUUCGGAAUUACUGGGCGUAAAGAGCGUGUAGGCGGCCCGGCAAGUCCGCCGUGAAAGUCCAGGGCUCAACCCUGGAAUGCCGGUGGAAACUGUCGGGCUUGAGUUCGGAAGAGGCGAGUGGAAUUCCUGGUGUAGCGGUGAAAUGCGCAGAUAUCAGGAGGAACACCAAUGGCGAAGGCAGCUCGCUGGGACGACACUGACGCUGAGACGCGAAAGCGUGGGGAGCAAACAGG